CGACGUCGGCGCGCAGGUCCGCGCUGGGCGCCUCCAGGAGGCGCUGUGAGGCCUGUUCCAGGCGGGCGGCGGCGUC
rnacentral:tRNA from 1 species